AGUGAACGCUGGCGGUAGGCCUAACACAUGCAAGUCGAACGGCAGCACAGUAAGAGCUUGCUCUUACGGGUGGCGAGUGGCGGACGGGUGAGGAAUACAUCGGAAUCUACUUUUUCGUGGGGGAUAACGUAGGGAAACUUACGCUAAUACCGCAUACGACCUACGGGUGAAAGCAGGGGAUCUUCGGACCUUGCGCGAUUGAAUGAGCCGAUGUCGGAUUAGCUAGUUGGCGGGGUAAAGGCCCACCAAGGCGACGAUCCGUAGCUGGUCUGAGAGGAUGAUCAGCCACACUGGAACUGAGACACGGUCCAGACUCCUACGGAAGGCAGCAGUGGGGAAUGUUGGACAAUGGGCGCAAGCCUGAUCCAGCCAUACCGCGUGGGUGAAGAGGGCCUUCGGAUUGUAAAGACCUUUUGUUGGGAAAGAAAAGCAGCAGGUUAAUACCGCGCUGUACUGACGGUACCCAAAGAAUAAGCACCGGCUAACUUCGUG
rnacentral:rRNA from 1 species